rfam:Pteropus alecto contig21546, whole genome shotgun sequence.
CCAAUGGCUUUUAUGAAAGCCUCAUAUAUUAACUUUAAAGUAAACU